rnacentral:lncRNA from 1 species
CAUGGAAUCAGUCUGGAAAAAAAAAGCACGUGAAGUAAGCAUUCACUUACUCAAGGAGCACCGAUCGUGAGGACAUGCUCUGGUUGUUAGAGAAUAAUGACUCGUACAUUUCGGAGUUUGUUGAGAUCAUGAAUCUUACUGAGAGGAGAAAGAAAUGGAAUAGCGAGAUGGCCGACCGCUUGUCAUCUUAUAGAUAUAAGACUCUGAAGC